UAGACAAUAUUAUAACAUCACCUUACUACCCUAAUAAUUACCCAAACACAGGCACUGGUUUGGCUACCAUUCCGAAAUGUCCUGGAAAACAGAUCCUCAUUGUAUUUGAUGAGGAUUUUGUAAUACAGAAAAUAGGUCAAUCACAGUGUGAUCCACACUCAAGUCUCGGCGAGGGUGAUGAUUUAUGUCAAGAUGCCGCAAUUCUUGAGGAUCGCAGUACAUCCGAAAGCUUCCGGUAUUGUGGCGGGACUGCUCCAUCACCGUUCACGGCGACAGGGGAUGUUGUUGUAGCGAUCUCACAAAACGGUGAUAAUAUCGUGUGUAUGGGUUUCAGUUUAACUUACAGUUACGUGGAUGCAUAGAUGUAAAUAUGAAAGUACCGGAUAUGAUGAUGACUUGAGUAGGUGUCAAGUAAAGAAUAAUAAUAAUAUUCAACAUUUGAUUUGUUUAACAGUGGAUGUUUUCUCUCCUUGCUACUUUCCCAUCUUUAUUAUUCUAAUUGGUUUAAUUUUAAUGGAGUGUCUUUGAACUUUCAAUGAAUAUCUCGAGGAAUUAUAAUUGCUUUAACAGUGGAUUUUUUCUCUCCUUUCUAUUUUCGCGUCUUUAUUCUAAUUGGUUUAAUUUUAAUGGAGUGUCUUUGAACUUUCAAUGCAUAUCUCGAGGAAUUAUAAAUGUCGAUAUAAUUGGCUUUAUUGUAAUUGAUUUAAUAUUAACUAGAUGUGUAUAAGUGUCGAUUAUUAAACCCGCUUUUAAUGGA